UACAGUUGUCGUUGUUGACACUGCAGUUGUCGAUGAUCCUGCAGGUGCUGUUGUGGUUCCUGCAGUUGUAGCUCCAGAUCCAUGAAUUGUGGUCGUUUCAGGAUUUGGCGUUGUGGGUUCUGCAUUGGUUGUUGUUGGUCCUACAGUUGUUGUUGUUGAACCCGCGGUAGUAUUUAAUGUUGUUAUCCAUGAAUUGUGGUCGUUUCAGGAUUUGGCGUUGUGGGUUCUGCAUUGGUUGUUGUUGGUCCUACAGUUGUUGUUGUUGAACCCGCGAUAGUAUUUAAUGUUGUUGUUGUUGCUGGUCCAUCAGUUGGUUUUGGUAAAGCAGUUGUCGUUAUUGCUCCUAAAGUUGGUGUUGUUGUGGAUCCCGUGGUAGUAGUUAAUGUUGUUGCUGUCUGUCUUGCAGUUGUUGUUGGUAAAGCAGUUGUCGAUAUUGGGCCUGCAGUUGAAGCUCUUGGUCCAGCAAUUGUUGAUGGUUCAGCAGUUCUCGUUGUCAGUCCUGCAGUCGUUGUUUUUGGCACUGCAGUCGUUGGUUCUACAGUUGGUGUUGUUUUUUUCAGCAUUUGGCGUUGUUGGUCCUGCAGUUGUUGUUGGUAAAGCAGUUGUCGAUAUUGGGCCUGUAGUUGAAGCUCUUGGUCCAGCAAUUGUUGUUGGUUCAGCAGUUCUCGUUGUCAGUCCUGUAGUCGCUGUUUUUGGCACUGCAGUCAUUGGUCCUACAGUUGGUGUUGUUUUUACAGCAGUUGGCGUUGUUGGUUCAGCAGUUGGCGUUGUUGUCAUUGGUCCUACAGUUGGUGUUGUUUUUACAGCAGUUGGCGUUGUUGGUUCAGCAGUUGGCGUUGUUAGUCCUGCAGUUAUUAUCUGUCCUGCAGUUGUAGCUAUUUGACCAGCAGUUGUUGUUGGUUCAGC
ensembl:lncRNA